rnacentral:rRNA from 1 species
CCUACGGGUGGCAGCAGUGAGGAAUAUUGCUCAAUGGGCUUACGCCUGAACCAGCCAAGUCGCGUGAGGGAAGACUGCCCUCUGGGUUGUAAACCUCUUUUGUCAGGGAGCAACUCCGGCUACGUGUAGCAUGACUGCGAGUUACUUCAGAACCAGCAUCGGCUAACUCCGUGCCAGCAGCCGCGGUACUACGGGGGAUGCGAGCGUUAUACGGCUUUAUUGGGUUAACAGGGUGCGUAGGGUGAAAGCAAAGUUAGCGGGAAAAUCGCUGGCCUAAAGCUCGCUCCGACGUUGAAACUGGCGUUCGUGAGUAUGCGAGAAGUAGGCGGAAUGCGUGGUGUAGCGGUGAAAUGCAUAGAGAUCACGCAGAACUCCGAGUGCGAAGGC